UUUUUUUUUAUUUUUUAUUUUUUUAGAUUUUAUUUAUUUAUUCAUAGACACACAGAGAGAGGCAGAGACACAGGCAGAAGGAGAGGGAGAAGCAGGCUCCAUGCAGGGAGCCCGACGUGGGACUCGAUCCUAGGUCUCCAGGAUCACACCUCGGGCUGCAGGUGGCGCCAAACCGCUGCGCCACCAGGGCUGCCCUGAUGGUUAGUUUUAUAUAUAAACUUCAGUGGUCUUGAGGUGCCCAUAUUAUAUCUGAGUUUAUCUGUUAGAGCUGUUUCCAGAGAAUAGCAUUUGGAUUGUUGGCCUCAGUGGACUGCCUUUCUCAGUGUGGAAGGGCAUCUAAUCUGUUGAGAGCCUAAACAGAAUUAAAAGAUAGAGGAAGGAGGAAUUUGUUCCUUUCUUCCCACUUCAUCAUUUGAGCUGAGAUCUCUCAUUUCAUCUUCUCCUGACCUUGGACUGCGAUUUAUACCACCGGCUCCUCUGGUUCUCAGGCCUUCAAAUUUGGAAUGGAUUACUCCACUGACUUUCUUGGGCCUCCAGGUUCAAACAGCAGAUCCUGGGAAUUCUCAGCCUCCACAGGUUGUUUCUCUGGAGAACCUGGACUACUACAGAUUUUGGAACUGAGAGUGGAGUGCUCCUAUAACAAAUAUCUAAAAAUGUAGAAGUGGCUUUGGUACUGGAUAACAAAUAGUGGCUGAAAAAGUUUAGAGGUGCAUGCUCAAAAUGAAAGGGCCAUUCUGGUGAGGUCCCAGAAAGAAAAGAGGAGAGGUGGAAAAAAAACUUCAAUCUUCUUAGAAAAUAUUUAAAUAAUCCUGAACGGAAUGCUGGUAGCAAUACAGACCACAAGCGCACUAUGAUUAGGUUUCAGAUGGAAAUAAGGAACACAUUAUUGGAAACUGAAGAAAAGAUGAUCCUUAAUUUAAAGUGACAAAGAACCUGGCAGAACUGUGUUCAUGUUGUAGUGUUUUGUGGAAGGUAGAACUUGCAAGCAAUACAUCAGCUAUUUAGCUGAGGACUCAGAUCUCUAAGCAAAGUAUUGAAGGAAUGACCUGGUCCCUCCUGAAUAUUUAUGGUAAAAUUGUUAAGCUAAAAAAAAAAAAAAAAAAAAAGAAGAAGAAAGAAAGAAGGAACUAGAACUUAAAGAUUGGAAAUGUUUUCAGCCUAUCCACACUGCAAAAAAUAAGAAAGUGUUUUUGGAAGAGGACACUAAUGGUGUAGCAAAGUGACCAUUUAAUAAGAAGAUUAAUACCUAAACCACAGACCUAAAACAUCCAUCUCAACAGAAGCCAGGUGCUGUUCUUCAAGAUAAGGAAAGAAUAAUAACAACACUACCACCACUACCACCACCCACUGCCAAGGUAAAUCAGAGAUCAUCAAAGUUGCCACUGCUAUCACAGGCCCAAAGUGCAAGAAUUCAGGGGACAGAAUGGUUUCAAAGGGUAGGAUGCCUCUUUCUUACAUCUAAACUAAGACAACAUGGAAUUUUAUUUCACUCAGUGAGAGAACUUAUAUUUUAAUUUGUUCAUAUAGAUAUUUCCAUAAAGCAAACUAUAACAAAUAUUCAACAGUAAGUAUAUUACAGACCACAGUCACUGAUCAUGAUUUAAUGACACUAGAAAUAAUUUUUAAAUGGUUUGAAACAUCUUAAAAUUUGAAAAUUAACUGAUCAAAGAGGAAAAAUCACAGGCUCCCUAUAAAUUAAUGGAAAGAUAAAUACAUAAAAAAAAUGCACAGAACACAGCAAAAGCCAUACUUAAGUAAAAAUUUAUGCCCCUAAAUCCUUUCAUUAUGAAGAAAAUGACAAUCACAUGAAUGUUAUAUUUACCUUAAGGUUAAAAAAAGCAUAAAAGUAACCAAAAGAAAAUAAAAAGAAUGAAUAAAAAUAACAGAUAUAAUUAGUGAUACAGAAAGUUGGUAAUUCCAAAAACGUGUUUUUUUAACUGCUUAAGAAUAUAAAACAAAACAAAUAUUAGCAAGACUGGGAAAGAAUAAAUGUAUUAUUUCCUAGAAAAUAUAAAUAACCCAAAUUAAACCAAGUAGUAAACCCAAAAUUACCAAAGAAAGACUAGAAAGGUGACUAUCAUUUUUAUUUAUUUAUUUAUUUAUUUAUUUAUUUAUUUAUUUAUUUAGAUCUUAUUAUUUGAGAGACAGAGGUGGAGAGUGUGCAUGAACUGUGGGAAGAACAGAGGGAAAGGGACAAGUAGACUCUGCUGAGCACAGAGCUUGAUUCAAGAGCUCAAUCCCAUGACCCCUAAGAUCAUGACCCAAGCACAAAUCAAAAGCCCAAUGCUUAAAUGACUGAGCCACUCAGGCAGCUAUUAUUUUCAAUAACACAUCCAAAAAACCUUUAAACCUGAAUUCUAGGGGCACCUGGGUGGCUCAGUGGUUGAGCAUUCGCCUUUGGCUCAGGUCUUGAUCCAAGGUCCUGGGAUCAAGUCCUACAUCGGGCUCCCCACAAGGAGCCUGCUUCUCCCUCUGCCAAUGUCUCUGCUUCUCUGAGUGUCUCUCAUGAAUAAAUAAAUAAAAUAUUUUUUUUUAAUCUGAAUUCUAACAGUUAAGUAACAACCACAAUGUUAUUUAAAUUAUUCCAUACCAAAUAAAAGAUGAAAUGUUUUCCAAUUCAUUUCAUAAAACAGCAAAACUUUAUUACCAAAACUUAAUUAAAAAACAAACUCUAAAACUAUAUAUCUUUCUAAUUAUUUCAGUUACUAUGGCUACAAAAAAAAUAAAUAAAUAACCCUAAUAUUGACCAAGACACCGUUUACUUUGCUCAUGAAUCUGCAAUUUAAACAGCUUGUCUCUGCUCCACUUAGCAUCAACCAGGGUGGCUCAAAGGCUGGGGACUGAAAUUAAAUAAAGCCUCAUUCACUAAUGUGUCUGAUGGCUGACGCUGUCAGAUGAAACCCUGGCUGGCUUCACAUAGCUUCUGUAUGUAGACUAGGCUUCCUCAUACUAUAGUGGCUAGGUUCCAAAGGUAAGCAACCUGAGAGAGCCAGGCAAAAAACAGUACCACCUUUUCUGACCUAACUUCCUUAUAAGUCAUAUCAGCUCCUCAAUUCAAAGGCCAACACAAGUUCAAGAAGAGGAGAAAUACACUCAGCUUCUAAGUGGCAUGGUUCUAGAAGAACACGUGUAAUCACAAAUAUUGUUGAAAUCAGUUUUCAAAAUACCAUAUGCUUCAGUCCACCUUCUGGCCACAGCAGUUCACAUCCUUCCAACAUGCAAAAAAUAUACUCAUUCCCUCCCCCAAUACCCGCAGCUACUAGGCUCAGGCUUGAGGUCCAGGUAUGGAUGAACUUCUUGGGUACAGUUCCUUAGAUAUAGCCCCUUGAGUAUAGUUCCUCUUGAUCUGAAGAGC
rnacentral:lncRNA from 1 species